rnacentral:rRNA from 1 species
CACGUAGGGGGCGAGCGUUGUCCGGAAUCAUUGGGCGUAAAGAGCUCGUAGGCGGCUCGGUAAGUCGGGUGUGAAACCCCCAGGCUCAACCUGGGGACGCCACCCGAUACUGCUGUGGCUAGAGUCCAGUAGGGGAGUGUGGAAUUCCCGGUGUAGCGGUGAAAUGCGCAGAUAUCGGGAGGAACACCAGCGGCGAAGGCGGCACUCUGGGCUGGAACUGACGCUGAGGAGCGAAGGCGUGGGUAGCAAACAGG